rnacentral:rRNA from 1 species
UACGAAGGGGGCUAGCGUUGCUCGGAAUCACUGGGCGUAAAGGGUGCGUAGGUGGGUCUUUAAGUCAGGGGUGAAAUCCUGGAGCUCAACUCCAGAACUGCCUUUGAUACUGAAGAUCUUGAGUUCGGGAGAGGUGAGUGGAACUGCGAGUGUAGAGGUGAAAUUCGUAGAUAUUCGCAAGAACACCAGUGGCGAAGGCGGCUCACUGGCCCGAUACUGACGCUGAGGCACGAAAGCGUGGGGAGCAAACAGGG